UACGUAGGGUGCGAGCGUUGUCCGGAUUUAUUGGGCGUAAAGAGCGCGUAGGCGGCGCUGUACGACCCGUGUGAAAGCCCCCGGCUCAACUGGGGAGGGUCACGGGUAACGGCAGUGCUCUGAGUGCAGGAGAGGGAAGUGGAACUCCGGGAGUAGCGGUGAAAUGCGUAGAGACCCGGAGGAACACCGGUGGCGAAGGCGGCUUCCUGGUCUGCAACUGACGCUGUGGCGCGAAAGCUAGGGGAGCAAACAGG
rnacentral:rRNA from 1 species